rnacentral:rRNA from 1 species
GAUGAACGCUCGCGGCAGGCCUAACACAUGCAAGUCGAGGGGGAAGUUACUUUCGGGUGACUGAGACCGGCGUACGGGUGCGUAACGCGUAUACAAUCUGCCUUUCACUGGGGGAUAGCCCGAAGAAAUUUGGAUUAAUACCCCAUAGUAUAUAGGGACGGCAUCGUUUUUAUAUUAAAGCUUAGGUGGUGAAAGAUGAGUAUGCGUUCUAUUAGCUAGUUGGAGAGGUAACGGCUCCCCAAGGCGAUGAUAGAUAGGGGUUCUGAGAGGGAUGUCCCCCACACUGGUACUGAGAUACGGACCAGACUCCUACGGGAGGCAGCAGUGAGGAAUAUUGGACAAUGGUCGGAAGACUGAUCCAGCCAUGCCGCGUGCAGGAUGAAGGUCUUAUGGAUUGUAAACUGCUUUUGUAAGGGAAGAAUAAGGGCUACGCGUAGUUUGAUGACGGUACCUUACGAAUAAGCAUCGGCUAACUCCGUG